rnacentral:lncRNA from 1 species
AACAAGUUUGAGCUAAGACAAGAUGAAGAUGUGCUUGACACGUGGUUUUCUUCUGGGAUAUUUCCGUUGUCUGUUCUGGGAUGGCCUGAUGAAACAGACGACUUCAAAGCCUUCUAUCCAACCUCUCUCAUAGAAACUGGACAUGAUAUCCUCUUUUUUUGGGUUGCUCGUAUGGUUAUGAUGGGAAUAAAACUAAGCGGCGGCCAGGUUCCCUUCAGCAAGGUUUAUUUGCAUCCUAUGAUACGUGACGCACAUGGGCGCAAGAUGUCAAAAUCUCGUGGAAAUGUGAUUGACCCGAUUGAAGUAAUCGAGGGGGCAACUCUUGAUGCACUUCGUAAAAGAUUAGAAAAGGGUAACUUGGAUCGAACAGAGCUGGAUAUGGCCAUAAAAGGACAACUGAAGGACUUUCCAGACGGAAUCUCUGAGUGUGGUGUGGACGCUCUUUUUCAUGGUAUUCGUUUUGCACUCGUCUCUUACACUGCUCAGGUCUCUUAAAAUUAUUAUUUUGUGCUUUUUUUUUCCCCACUAAUUUCUUAUACGAAGUUGAAUGUUUUGUUUGUUUUUGUAGUCUGAAAAAAUAAACUUGGACAUUCUACGUGUGGUUGGAUACCGGCAAUGGUGUAACAAGCUCUGGAAUGCUGUCAGGUUUGCCUUGAUAAGACUUGGCGAUGGUUACGCCCCGACGAUUGUUCUAAGCCCUGAAACGAUGCCCUUCAGCUGCCAAUGGAUUCUCUCUGAACUAAAUAAGACAAUAUCGAAGACGGUGGAGUCACUGGAUGCAUUUGACUUGUCGGAAGCAGCCAACACAGUAUAUGCAUGGUGGCAAUAUCAAUUCUGUGAUGUUUUCAUUGAAGCUAUCAAACCAUAUUUUGCUAAUGCGCCGUUGGCUGCUUCAGAGAGGGCUCAUGCACAAGAUGCUCUCUGGGUAUCUCUGGAGACGGGUUUGAGACUGCUUCACCCGUUCAUGCCUUUUGUUACUGAAGAGCUAUGGCAACGGCUGCCUUCACCCAAGGACUGUGAAAGAAAGGCAUCUAUCAUGAUAUGUGACUACCCGUCUCCUAUAGAGGUGAGAGAUAACUUUUUGUGCUUUCAUUAGUUUGGUUCUUUUCAACUCUUCUUCUCCUUCUUUGUUAACUCUCAGAAUUGGACAAAUGAAAAAGUGGAGAAGGAAAUGGAAACCGUUCUAGCGACCGUCAAGUGCUUGAGAGCACUCAGGGCUGCAUUGCUGGAGAAACAUAAAAAUGAAAGGUCUGAUAAAAAUCCCUCUUUCUUUUGAAAGGAACACUUUGAGACAAUGUUUUUGUCUAACAAAAAAAAUGGUAUUUUGUCUCUCUCUUUUCUCUCAGGUUACCUGCGUUUGCUCUGUGUGAAAACAACGUAACAUCCGAAAUUGUAAAAUCUCACGAGUUGGAGAUCAGAACCCUUGCAAAUCUAUCGUCCUUAGAGGUAAUAAUAAAACAGGUUCCCACUUUGUGGUUUCUCUCGUGUUCCUUUUUCUGAGUUCUAUUUAUGGGUUUGGCUUCUUCGCUAUAGGUUCUGCUAAAGGGAGAACACGCAGCAGCCCCAGCUGGAUCUGCAGUUGAGACUGUGAACGAGAACCUCAAGGUCUAUCUCAAAGUGGACAGAGCCAUUAACACAGAAGCUGAGCAAGAAAAGUUCAGAAACAAGAUUGCAGAACUUGAAAGGUAAUCCCCCCCGUCCCUCCCUAAUCUUUAGAACAACAAAAAAAAUGUUUGAAACGUAAAUAACAAGCAAACUUGGCUUUCUUGUUUCAUUUUUUAGACAAAAGGACAAGUUGCAGAAGAUGAUGAGUGCGUCUGGGUACCAAGACAAGGUCCCUGCGCACAUAAAAGAAGACAACGCCACAAAGCUCGCUAAGAUUCUCCAAGAAUUCGAUUUCUUUGACAAGGAAAGUGCUCGUCUCCUUGCCGAGACUGGAAACCAGCAAAUGGAGCAGCAUAACAAGUGAGAAAACACCACCUCUCUUUAUUGUCCGAAAUAGACUUUUUGUGUAAAAGAAACUAGAUUUUGACAGCGCGGAACUUUUUUUUUGUUGAGAAAUUUAUUAUUUUCUUGUAGUGUUAUUGUAGGAGAUGGAUUACACUCCUCCACAAGACCCAUCGAAUAUCAGGCCCUAAUCCAGCAAGUUGGAUCAGUUUGGUCGGCUCGGCGGCCAAACGUAUCGGCUCGACCUUAGAGUGCUUUUAGCCGGUCGAGUAAGCCGACCAGAAGUACCUGGCUUGGAGAGAACCUUGUCCAGGCCCGCGUACUCGGCCUCUCGCAUCAAGGCCCAAAGAGAUAUGAAAUUAGGGCAUCAAAGGCGAGAGUCCUAUAAAAGGUGAAAGGGAAGCAAGAAGAAGGGGACUUUUGGACCAUUGAACAGAUUGAGCGGCUAGAUCUAAGGUUUUAGGCUAUCUCUUUGAUCUUGUUACUCUUCGAUCUUGUUGCUCUUUCAUCUUCUUGUCACUCUUGUAACCCUUCAUACCAAAUCUAAAUAAAACGUCUUUAGCCAUCCCAUUUCUGACUUCUUUCAUCUUAGUCGACUGAAUCCCGUUCAAACAGUAUCUCUAUUCAAGAGUUUGCCAUUGACAUCAACCAGUAGAGCAUCAACGACAUGGUCCACUGUGAUUCCGUAUUUUCUCAUCAGAUUCCCGUAUCCUCCACCACUUAUGUGUCCUCCAGCUCCCACGGUAGAGCAAACGCCAGCAGGAAACGCUAACGUUUCGCUUGCGUCGCUGAUCUUUGUGUAGAGCUCUCCCAAUGUGGCACCAGCUUGAACCCAAGCUUUCUUUCUUGACACGUCAAGAAUAAUAGACCUGAGAUUGAACAUAUCGAGAAUGAAAAAUAGCCCCUCGUAAUCAUCACCACCGCUUCGGAUACGUAUCUGGCUACCGUUGGCCUUUGCGCAUACUACCGUGGCUUGAAUACGAGAUACGUGUUUUGCCGUGACGAUGGCCAUCAGUGUUUGGUAGUUAGGGCUUGUGCAUUGGCUGAUCCAGAAAAAUAAUAUGACGGGGGCACACUAUAAAUAUUUUUAAUAAUCUUAAAUUCAUAAUAAUAUAACUUUAUAUUAAAAACUGUUAUAAGAUAUUAAUAUAAAUUUAAAAUGUAAAUUAAUAUUAUUAAUUAUAAUUUGGAAACAAAAUAUAAUACACAGUACAACCUAUAACAAGUUUUAUAAAACUAUUUUAAUAUUUUUAAAAAAUUCUACAAAUGUUAUUAAUCAAAAUAAUAAAAUUAUACAAUCAACACUAGUUAUAUAUAUAAUGUAGUCUUUAAUUUUACAUAUGUAAUAUAGUGUCAUACAUGUCACUUUAUCAAAAGAAAUAAAGUCUGAAGUAUUAAAUACAAAGUAAAUAUGUAUAGUUUACUAUUUAAAUAUAAAUUAUUUUCUUAUUAUUAGCAACUGAUAAUAUCAGUAGUAGAAAAUAAUAAACUCAAAAAUUGUUUCAGAAAAGAAAAUGAAAUUUAGAAACGAAAACAGAAUAGAAAGAAUUAGUAAAGUCAAAUAAACCAAAUAAGUUAAUGGGAAAAAUAAUGUUAAAAGAAACAAAAGAAAGUUAUUAAUAAUAAAGCAAAAUCUAGGUGAAGUGAAAAUAUAUAUUUUUUUAAAGGGUUUUCAUAUAAAUAAUAGGCAAUACAAGGAGCAAGCAAGCACCACUGUUUUAUAGAGAAAUACAGGGAAGGAUCAGAACCAGACAUAGUUAGGGAAGAAAACUAUGGAGGAUCAAACCAGAAACUUGCAAGGCGAGGACUAAGUGGAAGACCAGCGAGAUCAUAGCGUAGCACUUGUCUUGAAGACCUGAGACAAUGAAUCUAGAAACUUUACCUCCACCCGGAGACAGGGGCGGAUCUACGGUGUUAAGAACGGGGACACGUGCCCCCGACUACUCUAUAGAAAUUAUUUAGUUCAAAAUGAAAGUAUUGAUAACUCUAGGUCAAUUGAUAAAGGUGUCCCACUAUCAAUAAACGUGGAAACGGUUCGAUGCUCAUUAAAUUCCUUUUUUAUGUUUUAUUUCAUUGUGGUUUACAUUUCUGAUUUUUUUUAUCUUGUCAUCACGUAUCUAUCAUUCAUCGGGACUAUUUUUUUUUGUUUGUAAACUAAAAGGGUUAAAUUCAAAUCUAUUAAAAACACAUAACUAUAUUAUCUACCCAAAAAAAGGGAAAGAAAAAAAAAAUGUUAGUUUGCCUUAUCUUGGGUCAUGUGUUAGUACUAGGUUGGGUUUGGUGAAUAAGGCCCGUCACAAUAUAAUAUAUAAUAAAAUAUAUUCAGAGAGAUAAGAAAGAAAAAAACACAUUGUAGCAAAGUUUUCGUUGAGUUUAGGUCAGAAGAGCUUCUUGUGUUAUCUCCGACGGCGUCAGGAAAAAUGGUACGUGGUACAUAGAACACACAAAUAUUGGUCGUUAUCAGGUCAGAUCUGAGAAUCUAAUGUUUUUUUUUUGUUUUGUUGUCUUUUUUGAAUAUCGCAGUGCGAAACCAUUGAUGAGAAGAAGAUGAAGAAGGAUGAAAAGGUAUGCCCUUUUGUGAGCUUCUUCUUUAUCAAUCAUGGUUAGAAUUUAGCGUGGUUAUGUUGCUCUUGUAGAGUUUGAUUAUGAGAACAUUAAUUAAUCCUUAGAAAGUGAUGCCCUUGGCGCUCAGGAUUUAAAUGUUUUGUUUUCUUAGAUCUACACUAAACCCGAAGGAAUAAACUUUUCUAAUUACAGGCUAGAGAAAAGGCUUUGAAAAAGCUUAAAGCUUUGGACAAAGCAAAGAAGCUUGAAGAACUCAAGGUAACCUCUCUCUCUCUCUCUCUCUCUCUCUAUCUCUCUUGAGUAUUAUGCUUGAGUAAAAAAAACUCAAGAUUUUUGUUUUUUUUGUUCUUCUUCACAUGGUUGCGUAGGCAAAACAGGAGAAAGGUGGAACCAAUGCCAGUCAAAAGAAGAAGAGUCCCAAACGGGAUGAUGCAUCAGAAGAGAAUCCUGAGGAUUUUGUAGACCCUGAAACUCCUCUUGGUGAGAGGAAAAGGCUCUCCUCGCAGAUGGCUAAACAGUACAGCCCUGCUGCCGUAGAGAAAUCGUAUGUUUGUAGAGAUUUUUUGAUUUACAUCAACUCAUCCCACCAAUUUUUUCUUACAUCAUCUCUGAUUUUUCUCAGAUGGUAUGCUUGGUGGGAGAAAAGUGACCUCUUUAAGGCUGAUGCUAAGAGUUGCAAGCCACCCUUUGCCAUUGUAUAGCGCAUUGUUCAACCCUGAAUAUUAUUUACUUUCUUUCUUUUAUGUGGGGGGGUUUCUUGAACCUUAUCGUAUUGAUUCUUCUGCAGGUUCUUCCACCACCAAAUGUGACUGGAGUCUUGCAUAUUGGCCAUGCCCUAACAAUUGCUAUUGAGGUUUCCUUUUAACACUUUGUGUUUGUCUCUCUCUCUCUCUCUCCCUCUUGUGAUGCUCACACGUCUUGAAAUUUUCUGAUGCAGGAUACCCUUAUUCGUUGGAAGAGAAUGUCUGGGUAUAAUGCUCUGUGGGUGCCCGGAUUGGACCAUGCUGGUAUAGCUACGCAGGUUUAAAAACAUCAUCCUUGUUCAAAGCUUCUUUUUCCGUAGUUGUAGAAUUUGUUUUAAAAAUAUGUUUUUCUUCCUUUUUGCACAUGGAUUCUUCUAGACUAUGGUUGAGAAAAAACUUGCCCUUGAUAAAAAAUUGACCAGGCAGGACCUUACCCGCGAAGAAUUCUUGAAUGAAGUAAGUUAGAAAAUUUAAAAAAUACGCCUCUUGGAAUCAUUUUUCAUUGUUUGAAAAAUUCGUUGUUGGAAAAAAAGGUGUGGAAGUGGAAGGACGAAAAUGCCUGCACGAUUCUUACACAACUACGACGUCUAGGAGCUUCUCUUGAUUGGUCUCGUGAGGUAAGCUCUGACCUUUGUUGGACUGAUGUCUAAUUUUACUUCAUCUGUCCCCUCUGGUCUAUUCAUCUAACCGAUGUGUUGUUGUAGUGUUUUACAAUGGACGAGCAAACAUCAAAAGCUGUCACCGAGACCUUUGUACGUUUAUUCGAGGAAGGGCUUAUCUAUAGGUAUGUUUUUUUUUAAGUCUGAGAAAAAAUAAAACACAGGAGGAAUAGUACAUUUAACGGACUAUGACUUGUGCAGGGAUAUUCGGCUUGUUCAUUGGGAUUGUCAUUUGAAAACAGCUGUUUCUGACGAUGAGGUAAGUCAGUAGAAUAUAUAUGUGUCCUAUCUUUCUUUCUUUUUAUAAUGCGGAGUGUGUCUAUUAUAUCUGAUAGGUUGAGUAUAUGGAUAUCAAAGAAAAGACGCUACUAAAUGUACCUGGGUAUGAGAAGCCAGUAGAAUUUGGUCUUCUUACUUCAUUUGCUUACCCUCUGGAGGGAGGUUUGGGCGAGGAGGUUGUGGUUGCCACCACAAGGGUGGAAACAAUGCUGGGGGAUACUGCCAUUGCGAUUCAUCCCGAUGAUGCAAGAUACAAGCAUCUUCAUGGGAAAUUUGCUGUGCACCCAUUUAAUGGACGCAGGUUACCAAUUAUCUGUGAUGGAACGCUUGUUGAUCCAGAUUUUGGUACCGGUUGUGUUAAGGUAUGUAUUUGGAUGCUAUGUUUCUGGUUGGCUCCCUAUUAGUUGGCAUCUAAAUAAAGUGUUUUUUUUUUGUAAGAUUACUCCUGCCCAUGACCCCAAUGAUUGUGAGUUGGGAAAGCGUCACAACCUUGAAUUUAUUAACAUAUUCACUGAUGAUGGAAAGAUCAACACAAAUGGAGGGCCUGACUUCACAGGGAUGCCACGCUUUGCAGCACGUGAGGCACUUGUUGAAGCUUUGAAGAAGCAGGUAACUGUUGAUUUGAUAAAAUUAAGAUAACUGUGAUCAUAAACCUUUUAAAACAACUUUGUGUGUUCCAUUCCAGGGGCUGUACAGAGGUGCCGAAAACAAGGAAAUGAGGCUUGGUCUUUGCCAGAGAACAAGUGAUGUUAUUGAGCCUAUGAUUAAGCCUCAGUGGUACCUCAAUUGCAGCAUGAUGGCAAAGGAGGCUCUCAAUGUUGCUGAAAGCAAAAAGCUCGAGUUUAUACCAAAGCAGUACACUGCAGAGUGGACAAGGUUUGUUUCAUUUUUACUUAUCAUUGCCUCCAUUUAUUUUUUAUUUUUCUAAAUUAACAAUCACAACGAUGGACAGAUGGCUAGAAAACAUUCGUGACUGGUGUAUAUCAAGACAGCUUGUGUGGGGACACAGAAUACCAGCAUGGUAUGCUUGUCUCGAGGAAGACGAGCGCAGGGAGGUUGGUGCGUACAAUGACCACUGGAUCGUUGCUAGAAACGAGGAAGAAGCUCGAAAAGAGGCAGCUGAAAAAUUUGGUGGGAAGAACAAGUUUGAGCUAAGACAAGAUGAAGAUGUGCUUGACACGUGGUUUUCUUCUGGGAUAUUUCCGUUGUCUGUUCUGGGAUGGCCUGAUGAAACAGACGACUUCAAAGCCUUCUAUCCAACCUCUCUCAUAGAAACUGGACAUGAUAUCCUCUUUUUUUGGGUUGCUCGUAUGGUUAUGAUGGGAAUAAAACUAAGCGGCGGCCAGGUUCCCUUCA